AAAAGGAUAUGAAUGCUCUCCUGGGUAAAAUUAACCUCCUUUGCAUUUCAUUCUCACAUUCUCGCACAAAAUGAAUUAUCAAGAUGGAUUUUAUAAUAGCUGAUUCUCUAAAGAAUCUCUGAGACUUUGUAUGAUUCUUUAGUAUAGCAGUGGCUUUCGAUGUGCCAAGUCUACCUCCUCCCAUACUGGGACACUCAAGCAACGCAGAUGUACACGGGAAUUUUGGGUAUUCUAUACUGAGAAUACUGCACACAUAUCAUUAGUCAUCUUAAUGUUGUAACUUACCAAACUCUUAAGGUUUGCAAAUGUGAUUUUGUUGGCAUCUAGAACCAGUGUAUUUUUUAUUUAUGUCUGAAAAAUAAUCAUUGUGGGGUUUUAAAAUGAAAAAUCAUGUAGAUAAUGCCUAUCCAUAGAUGAAAUUGUUAUGUUGGGAAAAUGUGUACUUAAUCUUUGCUUUAGUAAAAUGAUUAUUAUAAAAAUG
rnacentral:lncRNA from 1 species